GGCAGCUGCCCCUUUUGACCCACGUUAAAGAUGGCCCUGGCCCGUACAGUAUAUCAUGGGGGGAGAAGGCGCGGUUGGUGGGUUCCAACACCUGCGAUCAGAUAUUUAUUCCCUAUCUUGUACACAGAAGGCACUUUCGGCAGAGGACAGUGGGGCUGCGGUAGAGCUGGAGUGAUAGUGAAUUUGGGAGGAAAUGUGAAAAUGUAAAAGCAAUGGUGAAUAUGAGAUAUAAAUAACCUGUACUCAGGCAGCUUCAUUCACAACAACGCUCCACACACUCAAGAGCUUCAGCUUCAUCCUCUGGAAAUUACCAGACUAUUAUAAAGUAUCUGUGAGAAACAAAAGAAAACUACUUAAAAGAUGACUCAA